UUGCGGUAAAAAAGCUCGUAGUUGGAUUUCUGUUGAGAACGACCGGUCCAAACCAUGUUUGCGCAUCUGGUUCGAUCUCGGCAUCCUCUCGAUAAUCAGUUCUGCGCUUGAUUGCGUGGGCUGAGUUUCGGGACUUUUACUUUGAGGAAAUUAGAGUGUUCACGGCAGGCAAUCGCCAGAAUACAUUAGCAUGGAAUAAUAAUAUAGGAUCUUGGUUCUAUUUUGUUGGUUUCUAGAAUUAAGAUAAUGAUUAAUAGGGACAAUUGGGGGCAUUCGUACUGACGCGUUAGAGGUAAAAUUCUUGGAUCGCGUCAUGACGAACUACUGCGAAAGCAUUUGCCAAGGAUGUUUUCAUUGAUCAAGAACGAAAGUUAGGGGAUCGAAGACGAUCAGAUA
rnacentral:rRNA from 1 species